rnacentral:rRNA from 1 species
GAUGAACGCUGGCGGCGUGCCUAAUACAUGCAAGUCGAGCGGACAGACGAGGAGCUUGCUCCUCUGACGUUAGCGGCGGACGGGUGAGUAACACGUGGAUAACCUACCUAUAAGACUGGGAUAACUUCGGGAAACCGGAGCUAAUACCGGAUAAUAUAUUGAACCGCAUGGUUCAAUAGUGAAAGACGGUUUUGCUGUCACUUAUAGAUGGAUCCGCGCCGCAUUAGCUAGUUGGUAAGGUAACGGCUUACCAAGGCAACGAUGCGUAGCCGACCUAAGAGGGUGAUCGGCCACACUGGAACUGAGACACGGUCCAGACUCCUACGGGAGGCAGCAGUAGGGAAUCUUCCGCAAUGGGCGAAAGCUUGACGGAGCAACGCCGCGUGAGUGAUGAAGGUCUUCGGAUCGUAAAACUCUGUUAUUAGGGAAGAACAAAUGUGUAAGUAACUAUGCACGUCUUGACGGUACCUAAUCAGAAAGCCACGGCUAACUACGUG